rnacentral:lncRNA from 10 species
GAGCCGCCGGCUCGGCUCUGAUGGAGGCGGCGCCGAAUUCGGCUGCGCUGAGCAUCCCGGGUUGUUGGUAAAGAUCUUGGUGCCUGGGAGGUCGGAGCUUCGUCUCCUGAAAUGGUUUAUACUAGUGAACCCUGGCGCCACGUUCUGUGGCUUAUAAUCACUUUCGUCGUUGCCGCAUGAGGAAGCAAAUGACACCGCCCCUUACCCUGGAAAAGUGGCUGCAGCCUUCCCCGGAUCUUAGUUUUACUCACCCCGAAGUCAAUUUCUCGUCGUCUCUGCCUUGAACCUUGGAAACAAGUGCUUUCAACAUAAGCGAUGUGAAGGCAUUAAAACAUGUUGAAUGGCUGUGUGCACAGGAUAUCCUACACCUGCCUGACAUCUGGAAUGCAGGUGAAGCAACCUGACCUGAUGGAGCCACCCACACUUUAGAAGAAUCUCAAAUACAGCCAACCCUGAUCUUCCUCAGCUGAAAAUCAUCCAUCUACCAAACUCACAAAUUAAACAUAACGUAAAUAUUAUUACGUUAUGCCUUGUGUUGUGGUGUUAGGCAUGCACAGAUCUGGGUUUAUCCCCUUGUGCUAGACAGUAAGUCACUUGGUUUGAGUCUGUCUGUUUCAGUGACCCUUUUCUCUAAAGCAUUUAGUUAACAUGAUGGCUGACAUCAGCGAGAACUCAGUAAAUGUGGAUUAAAUGAGAAAAUUCAAAAGAAUGAUUACUUACCUUUUUAAAGUUAUCAAUGAAUUCUAUACAAAUAACAACUUAAAGGUCACUAUGUUUCCAGGAAGUUUGGGUGGAGAGCAGAGGAUUGGUUUUCUAGACAGAGAACUUGUUAGACUGAAACAAAUCUUUCUGUGGAAAGUGUUGGGUUGCUGGCCUGAAUCCUGGCUGCUAUAGGGUCCCUGCCUCUUUCUUGGGCCCCUGACCUUAGAAGAAUCUUCCUUCAGAUAAGAAGAGGAGGCAGCUCCAAGUUUACGGCAAACCACCAGCCUCACACACCACUCCCAACCCACCCUUUUUCCAGACUUUAAAACAUCCCAGAAAAGGAUCAUGGUUGCUCCAGCCUGGACCAUGAGCUGCUGAGCAGUCGCUGAAAAUCCCUUCAACAAAAUGACAUAGCUGAUGUGAGUAAAUAGUAAUUCCUUGAAGGAAGAGAAAUUCUAUUUCCAGGGGAAUGACUGCUUGACAGAUAAAAAGAGACACAAGUAUCCCCACAUCUUGGAAUUUGACCUCUAGCCGCCACAAUUGACUAUAUUUGUCAUCACCUUCUUCUUGUCCAGCUGAACUCCUAAACCUGCCACCCCACCCCUAGCUAAGCUAAUAACAUGAAACUGUGCCCCAAAAGAUAGUGAAUAUUUACUGAAAUGCAAAACCAAGAGUUAUAAACUAUAGCCACAGACAAGACUUCUUAAAUGCAGGAAGUUUUGAAUAAGUGGGCACAAGUUAAUACAAUCAAAGAAAAACAAUAUUUGAUAUUUUGGACAUGAGCCCAAUGUGCUGGCGUAUAUGUGUGUGUGAGUGGGCAGGUGGAUGGGGGAAAUCUCACUAAUGAUGGGUGUCAUCAGGAAAGAAAAUCCAAAAACAAAACUACCAUUCAUUUGUACAAUUAACAAUUAGAAAGUGACAAAUGUUUAAUAAUACACUUGGAGUGAUACAUGGUUGUACCUGACCUCAGAAAACUCAUGGCACAACUAAGAAGACAGAGACAUAGACAUAAACAUGUCACAUAGCUUGAGUUCUAGUUGGAGGAUUAAAAGUAUUAUACAAGUACAGAGAUCUAAGAGUUCUGCAGAAGAAAGAUGAUGUUUUAUAAGAAAGUUCCUCGGAGUGGGUCAUUUGAGCUGGGAUUUGAAGGCUAAAUAGGAGUAUGUCAGGUGUGCUUCAUAUCAGCAACUAACAAAAUCAAAGAGACAGAGAAACUGCUGUAGUUGUUAAAGUGACCCCAUCUCUACAAAAACUACAAAAGUUAUCCACGGGUGGUGACACACCCCUGUGGUCCCAGCUACUUAGGGGUGCUGAGGUGGGAGGAUGACUUGAGCCCAGGAGGUUGAGUGUUCAGUGAGCUGUGAUUGUACCACUGCACUCCAGCCUGAGUGACAGAGUGAGACCCUGUGUCAAAGAAAAAAAAAAAAAAAGAAGUGACAGAAAAGUAUAAGUGAUAAGUAGGACAAACCUACCACAUAUUGAAAUAAUAGAAGACAAGCACCUUUUGCUGGAAAAGCAUCACUGCGGGAAGAAUUCCUUCCAUAUAAUUACCAAGAAGUCACUAUUCCAUCAAAUGCAACCGAGAGCCACCGAAGUACCAAGAAAUAAGCAAAUCGGCCUCUAAAAGACCACCACAGCCCACCCCACACAAUCACAUAAAAAUCCAGUUACUAAUGCUUCCACUUUCCUCUCCAGUGAGACUGCUAGAUAUGCUUAUAUCUGACUUUAAAUAUAAUCCUAAUAAAUAUGCUCACCUGAUCUUCCUGUCCACAGCAAAUGGCAAAUAACAAAUCUGGAAAUGUAAGCAGAGUAGCAGCAUUAUGAAAUAACAGCUAAUAUUCCUGCCCUGACCCCAAAGAAAGCAGAACCAAUAGUUUUAAACCUCAGCAGGAAGCAUUCAUUUAAGAAGAAACAGCUCUAUACACAGCUGAGUAGCCACUGGAGGUGUUAUUUUGCUUUGUAUCCUGAUAUUCAUCAAGCAUGUGAGUCUCCAAGAAAAGUUUAGACCUUGUUGAUUAAACAGUAAAGGAUGAUGAGAGGCUUAUUCAGAAGAUUCCCUUUCAGUAUGGUUAAUUGCAGAUUUUUACCAUGUAAAAUAACCAGAUUAAAAAGUCUUCUCAUACCAUACUCCCCUCCUUCCACCUCCAAGCUUUGGUGGGUGCACCUGUUAGGCCUUGCAGUGCCCCUGUGAGCAUGCACCCUCACCACCCUCCUCCAGCUGACCGUAAGUCACUUGAGGGCAAGUCAUUUAUAUUCAUGUAACAUUUAUAGUUUGUCCCCAGUGCUUAGUUCAAAUGCCUUGGCACAUAAUGGGUAUUCAAAAAGGGUUUAUAUAAUGGACAAAGGAAAAUGAAGUGAUUGUAACACUUUUAAAGAAGAUUUAUAUUAAAAAUGAAUGAGCUUCCCACUACACGAACACUUCUUUUGCACUCACCAAUGAAAACUAAAAUUGAUUGAUCAUUUACUAGGUCAGGCACUGUUCCAAGCGUUUCACACAUGUGAAUUUAAUCCUCACCACAGUGCUGUGAAGCAGGCACUAUUAUGUUCCCUAUACCAAGGAGGACAGUGAGGCCCAGACAAUGUGCUGUGCCCAGGCAGGCAGCCGGUAAAUGACAGAGGCUGCCUGCACACUCUGGCAGGCUGGCUCCCAAGCCCAUGCCCUAUCCACUCUGUCAUAUACCUCCAGUGUUAUAUUAUUCAUAGAAGACCAAAAAAAGAAACCUAUGCGACUCACUGCUGCUAAAAGGGGUUGAGAACGUCAGUGUAGCUUCCCCGGUUUACAAAAAAAUCUUAGUGGUUGCACAACGUUGUGAAUGUAUGUAAUGCCACUAAGUUGUACACUUAAAAUAGUUACAAUGGUCAUUUUCAUGUUAUGUAUAUUUUACCACAAUAAAACAUUUCUUUUUAAA